UCGAGAAUCUUCGGCAAUGGACGCAAGUCCGACCGAGCGACGCCGCGUGCGGGAUGAAGGCCUUCGGGUUGUAAACCGCUGUCAGUGGGGAGGAAAUUCGGGAGGGCUAUCCCUUUCGAUUGACCUAUCUUCAGAGGAAGUGCGGGCUAAGUUCGUGCCAGCAGCCGCGGUAAGACGAACCGCACAAACGUUAUUCGGAAUUACUGGGCUUAAAGGGUGCGUAGGCGGUCCGGAAGGUUGGGUGUGAAAGCCCUCGGCUCAACCGAGGAACUGCGCUCAAAACUACCGGACUUGAGGGAGAUAGAGGUGAGCGGAACUUAGGGUGGAGCGGUGAAAUGCGUUGAUAUCCUAAGGAACACCAGUUGCGAAGGCGGCUCACUGGACAGUUUCUGACGCUAAGAUACGAAAGCGUGGGGAGCAAACA
rnacentral:rRNA from 1 species